rnacentral:lncRNA from 1 species
CGUGUGAAAGUAGCAUCACAGGACCCAAGCUUCUUUUCUAUCAUCCAGGUACGUAUGUAUGUAUCUAUGAUAUGAUGAUUGGCAUUGUUUGAGAGUUUGAAUAGUGUGAAGGAGAGGGACGACGAACUUCUUCUGAGUUGGAAGUAGGUUGCUUGGUUGUUCAGGUGAAUGUAUGUUGAGAAGUAAACAAACAACAGGGCUUCUUCUUAGUCCCACAUCGACUAAAUAUGUGAAAAUUUUAGUCUUUAUAUUACACUACAUCACCUCUUAGCUUGUCACUUCGGGGACAUCCGAUAAAAUUGGAACGAUACAGAGAAGAUUAGCAAGGCCCCUGCGCAAGGAUGACACGCACAAUUCGAGAAAUGGUUCAAAUUUUU